rnacentral:sRNA from 1 species
GCGGAGGAAAAGAAACCAACAGGGAUUGCCCUAGUAACGGCGAGUGAAGCGGCAACAGCUCAAAUUUGAAAUCUGGCGUCUUCGGCGUCCGAGUUGUAAUUUGCAGAGGGCGCUUUGGCAUUGGCAGCGGUCCAAGUUCCUUGGAACAGGACGUCACAGAGGGUGAGAAUCCCGUACGUGGUCGCUAGCCUUUACCGUGUAAAGCCCCUUCGACGAGUCGAGUUGUUUGGGAAUGCAGCUCUAAAUGGGAGGUAAAUUUCUUCUAAAGCUAAAUACUGGCCAGAGACCGAUAGCGCACAAGUAGAGUGAUCGAAAGAUGAAAAGCACUUUGGAAAGAGAGUUAAAAAGCACGUGAAAUUGUUGAAAGGGAAGCGCUUGCAGCCAGACUUGCCUGUAGUUGCUCAUCCGGGUUUCUACCCGGUGCACUCUUCUACGGGCAGGCCAGCAUCAGUUUGGGCGGUUGGAUAAAGGUCUCUGUCAUGUACCUCUCUUCGGGGAGAACUUAUAGGGGAGACGACAUGCAACCAGCCUGGACUGAGGUCCGCGCAUCUGCUAGGAUGCUGGCGUAAUGGCUGUAAGCGGCCCGUCUUGAAACACGGACCAAGGAGUCUAACAUCUAUGCGAGUGUUUGGGUGUCAAGCCCGAGCGCGUAAUGAAAGUGAACGGAGGUGGGAACCCUUCGGGGUGCACCAUCGACCGAUCCUGAUGUCUUCGGAUGGAUUUGAGUAAGAGCAUAGCUGUUGGGACCCGAAAGAUGGUGAACUAUGCUUGAAUAGGGUGAAGCCAGAGGAAACUCUGGUGGAGGCUCGCAGCGGUUCUGACGUGCAAAUCGAU